CCCGACUUGCUCUAUUGGUAGAGCAUGAGACUCAUAAUCUCAGGGUAGUGAGUUCAUGUCCCAUGUCUGG
rnacentral:tRNA from 1 species